GACAGAGGGUGCAAACGUUGUUCGGAAUUACUGGGCGUAAAGCGCGUGUAGGCUGUCUCGAAAGUCGGAUGUGAAAGCCCUGGGCUCAACCUAGGAAGUGCAUUCGAAACUUCGAGACUCGAGUCCUGGAGAGGAUCGCGGAAUUCUCGGUGUAGAGGUGAAAUUCGUAGAUAUCGAGAGGAACACCGGUGGCGAAGGCGGCGAUCUGGACAGUGACUGACGCUGGAGACGCGAAAACGUGGGGGAGCAAACAGGG
rnacentral:rRNA from 1 species